AGAAUAUGAUUGAAGACUCAAAGCAGAAGCUCAUUGAUGUGCUACGAGACUCAAACUGUAAGCUGAGUGUGGGUGGAGGUCCAUCACCAAAAGCUGAUAAAUGCUGUAUCUCAUAAAGUGAAGUGGUCUUGAGAGGAGCAGUAAACAUCAGCUGAAGAUCCACAGAAGAGCUUCAUUACUGUGUCUAUGAGGAGAAAUAAAUGUGUGAUAAAUGUGUGAAUGUGAUCCAUACAGGUGAAGAGACUCAGACUUUACAAUCAAAUAAUGCAGCAUGUGUGUUAGAAACAUGAUAUUGAAUGAUUCAUGUUGCUUUAGUAUUCAAGCAGAUGAUCACUGUGUUUAAUGUAAAGCUGGAACAGAGGAGGAAGAUGCUCAGAUGAGUCUGUCUGGCUCUUCAGUUUAAUAAUAUUUCUAUUAAACUCAUUCAUAAUGAUUCAAAUGUUUCAAUGUGAUUGACAAGUGCAGCACUUAAAUGUAUCAAAAGAUAUAAAGCAAAUCUACAAUGUG